AGUCAUCUGUACAGCUCGGCUCCUAAACAGGCAAGCAGAGGAACUAAGCCGAUUCUUGGCGGCUUUCAGGAAUUCCGUACACCUCGGGCCCCCAGGAGCCGCCAAGGGCGGGCUGCAGUAGGUGAGCGCUCCCAGAAAACUGCUCAGCUGUGGCAUAUGUAGUAUGGGGUACUGAACCUGGGACUCCUGAAGGUAAGUCACCAGGUUCCAGAUAUCAUCAGGAUGCCUGCCAGGCUUCCCUGGACUGAAGACCCCACCAAUGUGCCCUGGAGCUCCGCUUCCCCAGAGACCCACCCUACUAGGGAAAGAGAGAGGCAGACUGGGAGUAUGGAC